CUGCUGCUGCUGCUGCUCGAGCUAUGGCGAAGCUAGUUUGCGCCUGCGGUUCACGUCUCGUGCGUCUGGUUUUCCUGCCUUGUCUUUAGGCUUGAAUUGCCGAAGAACACAAUGAAACCAUAACAUUACCAACACCAAUGUGACAGAGCUAACUGUAGCUUUUGGGAUCAAAAGAACCAAAGAAAAGAGGAUGAGAAAAAUGGACCAGUUUUGUGAAAAAUUAAGUAGUAAUUAAAAAUUGACAGAUGUCAGUUGUUUUACAAGUAAGAUGAUGAAACAAAAUGAGUCCAAGUCUGUCUGUGUAUAUAACGCUGACAAUAAUAUUUCCAGAUUUAAAAGCGCCCAGUUUUGGCUGCAAAGUAAUUGAAUGCAGGACAAAAGUACAUCUUCUGUUUUUAAUCAAAGAGUUUAAGAAGAUUGACACACACAUUAACACAUCCUAAAUAAAUAAGGGAGCAGAUGCACAGUUUUUGUAAUUGUAACAUUAUAAAAAAUAGUGAUCAGACAUUAUUUAAAAACGUAUUAAAGUACAGGACAUUUA